rnacentral:lncRNA from 1 species
GGAUGGUCUUCUCCCAAAACACAGUGAUAGAACUGAUAUUCAAUGGAGCAGAAGAACUCUGCUAAACUUGAGUGAAAUGAGGUGGCAGAAUUUCACAAAGGGGAGAGAAAAAAAAAAAAAAGAAAAAGAAAUCGGAGUUUCUCCGCAAUAUAAAUUCACCUGAGGCAGAAAUGUCCUCAGGCGCGGAAGGGCUUCUCCUCAAAUCACGGCAACACUAUAUAACGGUACUUACCGUGUGCUCCCGACCCGUUUUGAAACACCGCAGCCUGUUUGAAAACGGGAUCGGAACAGUUCGAUCAGGAACCGUUUUCGUUAUCGUCACUCCUUUAUUUUCGUGUCCCGCGUUGAGUUUCAAACGGGCACCCCCUCCCCGAAGGACCCCGCAGCCACCGCGCGCUUCAGCGGCGCUCCCGGAGCUGCGUAUCUCAAGCCGGGCCAGCAAUAAAGGUGUCCUUUUUAUCUUACAUCUUUCCUUCUGUUUUUCUUGGGUUCUUUUUUUUUUUUUUCUUGCUUCUUUUCUUGCCUUUUUCCCUCUUUCCGCACUACGAUCCCAGCCCCAUAAACCACCGCACUCUGUCAGAAACACACCGCGCUCCCGCAUCGCUCUCCUGCGCUCCCCGACUCCGCACUCAGCAGCGUUAUCCCCAUAGUUUCCCCUCUCGGCCCCAGCGGAGCAUUCCGUCCCACACUGUCCCGUUCGGAGGUGCUUCAGGCUACCGAGAUAUAUAGAGAGAGAGAGAGUGUGAUUCAUUUUCAUUUUUGUUGUGGUUUGUGUGUUUGUUUGCUUGCUUUUGUUUGGUAUUUUCUUCCCGGCUAAAUGGUUUACCUCUUCUAACGGGUCCGGUUUCGGCGGCGGGCGGAGGUAGGGCUGUAUUUUGAGAGCUCCUCCGAAACGCUGGAGUUUUUGCUCGACUGACGGUGUGCUGCUCUCAGCGCUUUUGGGUUUCUCGGCGAAAGUCGCGGCCGAAAGCAGACUAACGGGGCGGCGGAGUUCGGAGAGGAUCGUUUCCCUCCGUUGCCAUCCGCGGGGUGCGGGAGUGUCCCGCUUCCACGGGAGGGACAGAAAGACGACAGCAAAAGGGGAAAGCGGGGAUCGCGUCUCCCAAAGAGGCCGCUUUCCUCGGGUUUCCCUGACCCCAAAGCCGGCCCAGGGCUGACCCCCCCGGUCGGCGGUCAAAAGCAUUCCCCAGCGCCGCAGUUCUCCCUUUAAACUCUGUUCCUCGACGUGGGGAGACGGCGGCUCGUGGUGACUCUGUGGAGAUGGGCCGGGGCUGCUCCGUGCCGUCGGGGUGUCCCGGUCUUCGGGGAAGCAAACGCGAAGCGGGCCCGGGUCUCGGCCGCGCUGGGACAGCCGCGAGUGGGUGGCCCGGGGGGGGGGCGACAGCCUG